UGAGAAAUAACGUGAUCAAUUUUGAACAUUUCGCAUUGAGUGGAACGUGAAGGCCUUGGAAUGAGUACGAGCAAUGCUUGAUCGACGAAUCAUCAUAUCGCGUGACAAAAAUUUCAAGUCAUCGUUCGAAUUUUGGAGGAAGAAAGAAGGGAAAAAAAUGAACGCACACAUUCACAAAAGCAAACUUCGAACCAUAAGGGUGCCAGUCAGAAUGAAUGUUCAAACAUUUCGAAAUCAUUUCUUUUCACAAUAUAAUGCGUAGACGGUGGCUAAUCCAAUCGAGAACGGG